rnacentral:rRNA from 1 species
AACGCGAAGAACCUUACCUGGGCUCGAACGGCUAGUCAACGAUCGUGGAAACACGGUUACUCCGCAAGGGGGUCUAGUCGAGGUGCUGCAUGGCUGUCGUCAGCUCGUGUCGUGAGAUGUUGGGUUAAGUCCCGCAACGAGCGCAACCCUUGUCCUGUGUUGCCAUGCCGAAAGGCGGAACUCGCAGGAGACCGCCAGCGAUAAGCUGGAGGAAGGUGGGGAUGACGUCAAGUCCUCAUGGCCUUUAUGUCCAGGGCUACACACGUGCUACAAUGGCCGGUACAAUGCGCCGCUAAGUCGCAAGACGGAGCCAAUCGCAAAAAACCGGUCUCAGUUCGGAUUGCAGGCUGCAACUCGCCUGCAUGAAGCUGGAAUCGCUAGUAAUGGCAGAUCAGAACGCUGCCGUGAAUACGUUCCCGGGCCUUGUACACACCGUACGUC